UGGGGAAUAUUGCGCAAUGGGGGAAACCCUGAUGCAGCGACGCCGCGUGAGCGAUGAAGGCUUUCGAGUCGUAAAGCUCUGUCCUAUGGGAAGAUAAUGACGGUACCAUAGAAGAAAGCCCCGGCUAAUUACGUGCCAGCAGCCGCGGUAAUACGUAAGGGGCGAGCGUUGUCCGGAAUUAUUGGGCGUAAAGAGUGCGUAGGCGGCAAAUUAAGUCAGAUGUGAAAACUAAGGGCUCAACCCAUAGAUUGCAUCUGAAACUGAUAUGCUUGAGUCAAGGAGAGGAAAGUGGAAUUCCUAGUGUAGCGGUGGAAUGCGUAGAUAUUAGGAGGAAUACCGGUGGCGAAGGCGACUUUCUGGACUUGAACUGACGCUGAGGCACGAAAGCGUGGGGAGCAAACAGG
rnacentral:rRNA from 1 species